CUCCGUUUCAAAAUAGAUGACCCAACUUUAUACCAACUUUAAUACAAAGUUGGGUCAUCUAUUUUGGAACGGAGGAGGGAGUACAUCUUUGCGCUGCCGUCCAAGAGUGGCGCCCUUGUGUGCUGCUGGUGCCUUCGGUCGGCCUACUCCUUUUGGUUAGUUCAGUUCUCUAAAUAUGCAUGUGUUUCUCUUCCGUAUUAUGGUUUUCUUCUAGAAUUGGUGCUAAUUUGUCUACGUGGUUGCCAUUUGAGUGAUGCCUACUCCUGUUAUGGAGGAUUUUCGUGUUCGGCGUGGCAGCCUUAAGCGGACGUUGGUGCGAUCAUACUGGCCGGGGCGGAAAAGAGUACGUGGGAUGCAGCCUCCGUUUUCUAAGGAUUAUAUCCAACUGCUUAAGGCUACUUCUAGGGGGCGUUCAUACUAUGGCGGCCCCGAUUUGUGUUGUCGGAACUGUGGGGCUUUCUUUUGGUUUCGUGAAGGAUCUGUUUACCAUGCUGACGCGACUUCUCGCUCUCCUGUUUAUACGGGUUGCUGUCGGAAGGGCAGGAUUUCGUUGCCGAAAUUUGGUGAUUGGCCUUCUCCUUUGGAUAGGCUGAUGCGUUUUCAUUUUCUCUGGUUAUUUUCUAUCCAUGUUGCUGUCUCUCUUGGCCAGCGCUUCUGCGGCCUUUUACUGGUUGUAUGUGGCACUGUUGAUCCAAUCAGUGAGUAGAAGUCACUAGCGUGUAGGCCGCAGUGCAUGACACGCCCGCGCGCACAGACAAACGGUGAAGAGUAUCGACAUAUACUCAAAUGGAGGCACACGGAAGCAUGCAUUGGACGCAUGCGCUGCAACGGAGAUGCAUCGAUGCAUGCAGUGUACGCAUGCAAUCAGAUGAGAAUUCGUUGUCGCAUGCAGUGCACGCGUGCAAUUCGAUGAAUAUACACCACGGCAUGCAGUGCAACCAUGCAACCCGAUGAAUAUACAUCGCUGCAUGCAGUGCAACCAUGCAACUCGAU